GACAGAGGGUGCAAACGUUGUUCGGAAUUACUGGGCGUAAAGCGCGUGUAGGCGGCUAUGUAAGUCGGGCGUGAAAUCCCACGGCUCAACCGUGGAAGUGCACUCGAAACUGCAUAGCUAGAGUCCUGGAGAGGAAGGUGGAAUGCUUGGUGUAGAGGUGAAAUUCGUAGAUAUCAAGCGGAACACCGGUGGCGAAGGCGGCCUUCUG
rnacentral:rRNA from 1 species